GAUGAACGCUGGCGGCGUGCCUAAUACAUGCAAGUCGAGCGAACAGACGAGGAGCUUGCUCCUCUGACGUUAGCGGCGGACGGGUGAGUAACACGUGGAUAACCUACCUAUAAGACUGGGAUAACUUCGGGAAACCGGAGCUAAUACCGGAUAAUAUAUUGAACCGCAUGGUUCAAUAGUGAAAGACGGUUUUGCUGUCACUUAUAGAUGGAUCCGCGCCGCAUUAGCUAGUUGGUAGGGUAACGGCUUACCAAGGCGACGAUGCGUAGCCGACCUGAGAGGGUGAUAGGCCACACUGGAACUGAGACACCGUCCAGACUCCUACGGGAGGCAGCAGUAGGGAAUCUUCCGCAAUGGGCGAAAGCCUGACGGAGCAACGCCGCGUGAGUGAUGACGGUCUUCGGAUCGUAAAACUCUGUUAUUAGGGAAGAACAAAUGUGUAAGUAACUAUGCACGUAUUGACGGUACCUAAUCAGAAAGCCACGGCUAACUACGUG
rnacentral:rRNA from 1 species